rnacentral:rRNA from 1 species
UACGUAGGGGGCAAGCGUUGUCCGGAAUCAUUGGGCGUAAAGCGCGUGUAGGUGGUUUAAUAAGUCUUGCUGUGAAAGUCCAGGGCUCAACCCUGGGAUGCCGGUGGAUACUGUUAAACUAGAGUUCGGAAGAGGCGAGUGGAAGUUCCUGGUGUAGCGGUGAAAUGCGCAGAUAUCAGGUAGGAACACCAAUUGCGAAGGCAGCUCGCUGGUACGACACUGACACUGAGACGCG